AGCCUGCUGUGGGGAGGCAAAGCAUGUGGGAUACCCCACAGGGAAGGGCAACGGGGGCCUAACGCGCUUCUGGGGAGGUGAGGCGGGGGUCACAAGGGCAGGUCUGUAAGAACCUAGGAUACUACAAGCAGAUUCCUAGAGGAUCCAGACUCUUCUUCGAUGGUAAAGACGCUUCCCCACCUUGGUCAUGGUCACCUCCCUGACCUCAUCCUGCCCCUUCCUGUUGCUGGCCUCCUGGCUGUUCCUGGGACUCCACAUGCUCCUGCCUCCCUCAGAGCCUUUGCACCUGAUGCUCCCUGGGCCUAUGAGGCCUGCUCAGCUGCUUCAGGUCUUCCCUGGAAUUUCAGCCUUGGAGAGGCCGCCCCACCCCCAGCCCACCUGCCCUCCUGCUGAUUUCCGUCCAGCACUCAGCACAUGCUGGCAUUUCUCACAUCUGCUUGUUUCCUAUUUGUCUUCCUUCCCUGGACUGGCCGCAUGAUGAGGAGCCACCAUGUGUCUGCCUGGUUCAUCGCUGAAUCCCCAGGGCCUAGCCCAGCACUUGGCACGUUGUAGGGACUCAACACAUCACAGCUGAAUGAAUGAAUCUUGGGCCUGCUAGGACUUUUGUGGUCCUCAUUGAUUCUCCUCAUUUGGCCAGUACGGACCCCUCCAAGGUCGAGACUGUACAGAGCUGAAGGGCCCUGAAUGGAUCUAGAACCCAAGCGUCCGGACUCCCUGCCUUGGGUGCCCCUGCACCUCCACCUGCACAUCGGCUCCCAGAGGGGCAUUGUGCCUUGUGCCAUGGAGUCCUUGUGCCUGGGACGUGCCCUCCAGAGCCCUGCCUGCCUGCUGCUGUGGAGGGCUGGGGGAAGGGCCGGGAGCUGCCUCUAGAUGCUGCCAGUGUUGGCCGGUCCAGUCUGUGGUCCAAGCAGGCAGGAGGCCCUGGGAGCUGGGGAGCUGAGUUCUGGCCAUAAGUCGUGACAAAGGCUCACGGCUAAUCCCCCCUACUAACCCUACUCCCCACCCCCACAUAAGGGGAGCUACCCUCUGCCCCAGGAGCCACUUACCAGGCAGGAAUAGCAGGAAGAGGUAGGCAGCUCUCAUGGCAACGAAGAGGCAGGCCGGAGUGGUGUCAGAGAGGACAGCUGGGGAAAGACCAGUGGGAGCUCUACCCAGGGCCGCACCCAGGACAGCAGAGCCCACCUUUGAUCCCCUGAUUUUACCCUGGAGAAAGUGGCACCCAGAAGCCAGGCAUGGGAGGGCUGGAGUGGAGGGACAUCCCAGUCCCUGCUGGCCCACCCAGGUGUUCAGGUCACAAGGAACAAGGCCUCCAACCCAGCUCCAGGGCUGAUCUGACAAGCACACCCCGUGUCAUGUGUGUACUAGACACAGUCAGGGAAGGGUGGACCCUGCCCUGCUCACGAAGGGGACAUUCCUAACGUGCUCCCAGCCCGGGCCAUUCUGUCCUCACCCACACCCAUGCUCAGCCCUCUGGCCCAGCGCCUCCCGGGGUGUCCAAGGCACUGACUGCAUGAAUCGCUGAACCAGGCCCAUCCUUGGGACCCCAGCCGUGGCCAACCGGCAUCACCGCCUGGACUCAGCAGCGUCUGCCAAGCCCACCACCUGCUCCCAAUUAGCCCCUGGGCCCUGAGCAUCCUGCUCAGCAGAAAACCACAUCCACAUGGGCCUGCCGGGCCCCCACAGCGGCCAGGCCGGGCAGGGCUCCCAGCGCCCAGAAGACUCCUCUCCUGCCAGGCCUCCAGGCCUCGCAAGACCUGGCUGUGUUCACCACAGGCUCACCAGACCUGGGCUAUCUGCAGCGGCAGGAAACACUAGAGUGAAGUCUGAGGGGCUCCUCUGGAUUCCAGAACAGCAGCACUGAAGAGGCCAUGACAUCACCCGGCCUGGGGGUUCCGCACCCCCUGACAUUGUAGGCAAAAGCUGACAAAGCCCUGACUCAGUGGCCAGCGGCAGCGCAACAGAAGGAUGCCUUGAAGAUGGCAGGCAGGGCAGAACACAGGCUCCCACGCCUCUUGCUUGAAUCACUGCAUUGUUAGGAAAGACCCAGGACGGGCCCCACCUCCAGCAUGAAGGCCCCCACGAAGUUGAAGGUGACCAGACCCAGCAGCAGCAGCUUGAAGCAGGUGUCGGUGAUGUUCCUCAGCG